CCUACGGGAGGCAGCAGUAGGGAAUAUUGCUCAAUGGGGGAAACCCUGAAGCAGCAACGCCGCGUGGAGGAUGAAGGUUUUCGGAUUGUAAACCCCUUUUGUUAGAGAAGAUAAUGACGGUAUCUAACGAAUAAGCACCGGCUAACUCCGUUCCAGCAGCCGCGGUAAUACGGAGGGUGCAAGCGUUACUCGGAAUCACUGGGCGUAAAGCGCGCGUAGGCGGGAUAGCAAGUCAGAUGUGAAAUCCUAUGGCUUAACCAUAGAACUGCAUUUUAAACUGUAAUUCUAGAGUGUGGGAGAGGUAGGCGGAAUGGUUGGUGUAGGGGUAAAAGGCGUAGAGAUCAAGAGGAAGACUCAUUGCGAAGGCGACCUGCUAGAACAUAACUGACGCUGAUGCGCGAAAGCGUGGGGAGCAAACAGGAUUAGAUACCCCGGUAGUC
rnacentral:rRNA from 1 species